UCAAACCAGGAAGUAAACAACGAGUACUCAAAAAAGGCCCAACUCCUCUUACUCGAGGUAGCAACAUUUUGUGAGACAUCCAAGUCAUCAUGCAAGAUUGACUUCAGCUAUAAAACGAUAAAAUUGGAUUCCAAAGUGCAGGCGGGUACUGUCAGGAAAAUGUCAACCGAACAGCCAGGACAAAGACUUCAUCCUGGGAUCAUUGCAUCUGUGAUAUUUGUUUCAUUGGUUGCAAUUAUCGCUGCAGUAUUGAUUAUCAGAAAGUACUGCUUUCCACGCAGUGAGGCAUCAUAUAGAUAUUCAGUGCUGAUGCGGAUGGAAAAUGAGGGGCCAGUCGGGACAGAUGCUGAUAAGGGGCUCCACACAGUGGGAGAAGAGUCAGAUGAGGACCUUUUGGAGUAAAUCUUUAGGCCACGGCAUUGAUGGAAUGACAUGGAAAUAGUCCGAUGUUUUAUUUUUGUUGCAUGGACUUUUAUUUUUACCUCCCUCUUCUGUAUGCAUUGUAUUUUACUAUAGCAUUUCUGUCUUCUGUACUUAGGGGGGGGGGGGGGGGUUAUACGUUAUAAUACAUAAAAUAUAAAUGUUAAAUAUGAUUAACAUGAUAAUUAAACAUUUUGUUUUGUACAGUUUGUCAGUUGUGGGCUAGCAACUCAGAAUCUGAUGAAACUUUACAUUUGACCAAAGACCAUGUGCAAUGGAUUAUGUAAUUUGAAAUUGUUUUACACUUAGAGCAACUGUAGCCUUUUUCCUCAAAGAUGCCUACAAAGUUCAAGCCCUAUCCUGACUCCUGUUGAUGUUUUCUAUGGACCAUUCACUAUAACUUCUGAUUAGGAAUUAGAUCAAUUGAGACAUCAGGGUUAGCUGUCCAUAUAGAAGUUAUAGCUACAGUCUGAAUUCUUUCCACUUUCCUAGCGUGGUCUGUUGUGUUACUGAUCUCUGGGUAAACCCAAUAUUUUUCUGAAAUGAUUUUAGAAAAAUAUUAUCAAGUGUUAUUUGCAUAUCAUGUGACAUUGUGUCCUUUGAUAUUUACGACAAACUACAAAAAUGGUUUGUGGUUUUAGUGUUUUUUAUUGUGGACUACACUUACCUAUAUUCUUAAAACAAAAAUACAUUGUUAACUUUUAUAUUUUUCUAUAUGUAUAGUUGUGUUUUAUGUUUUCUGCACUUAAAAACUUUGACAAACAAUAAAUAUCAUGCUGCUGAA